rnacentral:rRNA from 1 species
GUGCCAGCAGCCGCGGUAAUACGAAGGGGGCUAGCGUUGCUCGGAAUCACUGGGCGUAAAGGGUGCGUAGGCGGGUCUUUAAGUCAGGGGUGAAAUCCUGGAGCUCAACUCCAGAACUGCCUUUGAUACUGCAAAUCUCGAGUCCGGAAGAGGUGAGUGGAAUUCCUAGUGUAGAGGUGAAAUUCGUAGAUAUUAGGAAGAACACCAGUGGCGAAGGCGGCUCUCUGGACCGAUACUGACGCUGAGGCGCGAAAGCGUGGGGAGCAAACAGGAUUAGAUACCCCUGUAGUCC